rnacentral:tRNA from 1 species
GGCUCGUUGGUCUAGGGGUAUGAUUCCUGCUUCGGGUGCAGGAGGUCCUGGGUUCAAAUCCCGAACGAGCCC